CCCCGGAAUGACCAACUACUCGAAAAUAGACCAAAUGAAUGUUAAAACACAAUGAUUUCAAUGAGACAACACAGGAAAUGUCUGAAACUUCAAGAGAUUUUAUAACUCUGCUUCAAGGCUGAAUAUAUGGAUUAUAAAGGACUCGACAUCAGGAAGACUGCCCGGUGGGCCGGGGCCAGCAUGAAAGACAUUCGGGACAGCUGACAGACCUGUGAUGUCCUGAUUAGGGCAGUGCUGCAUCGUCACAAAAGUUUGUCUUUUCUAUUGUGUUUUUAAGGUAAUUUAAACAUUCAUGUGCAGAAGAUGGGAAAGAGAACUUUAUUCAGUACUUUUUUGGAAGGGCUUAAUGUUGAGCCCUGAUAAUGCAUUAAAGGGGUAGUUCACCCAGAAGUGCGCAUUCAAACGCGAUUUCAAUUCCACGAUUUUCAAUUUUUGAAAGUGGCUCCCUGAUGCAUGCAAAUGUCUCCCAAUAUGAAAGCUAUCUUAGGCUGGGCUGUGUAGUGAAGGGAGAUAAUCAAAAUUCCCUUGCCUCUUCACUAUAUAUAUAUAUAUAUAUAUAUAUAUAUAUAUCCUUUUUUGAAUGAUUGACAUGAGUGAUUAUAAUAAGAGUGAUAAUCAAUAAUCAAUAUGUAACCUCUUUUAUUAUAUUUCAUAUACAA